rnacentral:snoRNA from 1 species
GCAUAUUAUUAGAACUGGUUAUUAAUUACUUUGUGUUAUAAUCGGUGUCAAAAUUAUGCAAAAUGAAACGCCACAUUUUACUUGUCUUUAACUUUUCGCAAAACUCGAUUUUUAAAGAUUUCUAAUGUUGCGACAAUA